rnacentral:rRNA from 1 species
GUUCCAGACUCCUACGGGAGGCAGCAGUCGGGAAUAUUGCGCAAUGGAGGAAACUCUGACGCAGUGACGCCGCGUGCAGGAAGAAGGUUUUCGGAUUGUAAACUGCUUUAGACAGGGAAGAAAAAAGACAGUACCUGUAGAAUAAGCUCCGGCUAACUACGUGCCAGCAGCCGCGGUAAUACGUAGGGAGCAAGCGUUAUCCGGAUUUAUUGGGUGUAAAGGGUGCGUAGACGGGAAUGCAAGUUGGUUGUGAAAUCGCUCGGCUUAACUGAGGAACUGCAACCAAAACUGCAUUUUUUGAGUGCUGGAGAGGAAAGUGGAAUUCCUAGUGUAGCGGUGAAAUGCGUAGAUAUUAGGAGGAACACCAGUGGCGAAGGCGACUUUCUGGACAGUAACUGACGUUGAGGCACGAAAGUGUGGGGAGCAAACAGGAUUAGAUACCCUAGUA